AUUGAACGCUGGCGGCAUGCCUUACACAUGCAAGUCGAACGGUAACAGGCCUUCGGAUGCUGACGAGUGGCGAACGGGUGAGUAAUACAUCGGAACGUGCCUAGUAGUGGGGGAUAACUACUCGAAAGAGUGGCUAAUACCGCAUGAGAUCUACGGAUGAAAGCAGGGGAUCGCAAGACCUUGUGCUACUAGAGCGGCCGAUGGCAGAUUAGGUAGUUGGUGGGAUAAAAGCUUACCAAGCCGACGACCUGUAGCUGGUCUGAGAGGACGAUCAGCCACACUGGGACUGAGACACGGCCCAGACUCCUACGGGAGGCAGCAGUGGGGAAUUUUGGACAAUGGGCGCAAGCCUGAUCCAGCAAUGCCGCGUGCAGGAUGAAGGCCUUCGGGUUGUAAACUGCUUUUGUACGGAACGAAAAGCCCCGGGUUAAUACCCUGGGGUCAUGACGGUACCGUAAGAAUAAGCACCGGCUAACUACGUGCCAGCAGCCGCGGUAA
rnacentral:rRNA from 1 species